ACAGAUGUGUUAUUUUAUUUCCUAUAUACUGCAUUAGGAAAUCAGAAUACUGAGUUUAUUAUGAAAAAUAUAUUCCUACAAGUAACUGAACAUGAUAGUGUGCAUCUUUUACAUGAAAGUGCUUUGACUUUUCCAGUUACUAGGAAAUGCAAAAGGAGCUGUUGCAGUUGCUAUAUCCAUUUUGAUAUUUAAAAUGCAGUGUGUGUUUGUAUGCAAAUAUAUGAAAUCUAUAUGUGAAUGAACCGUAUGAUGCUGGCUUGGAAAUGGGAAUUGGUCUGGAUUUCUGAGUUGAAUUGAGUUUGAAUGAACUAUGGAAAGAUUCAUGAACGGUGUCAGUUUUUUUUGAAAUCUGUUAGCGCAUGAUAGGAUUAAAUUAUGACAGGUUUCAUGUAAUUGCAAUUUAGACCUUCUUCAAGGAUCAUAUGGGAGUUCCAUUAUUUAUGGAGCCCAACUUUGCUGACUAUAAUAUCAUCUUUAUUUAUCCUUCUUCCAUAUUAGGAAGGGAGAUGGAGAUUGUUGUCAAUCUUGAGCAAAGCAGGUGAAUAAUUACUACGGAUGAAGUGAUUCUCAUGAAGUCACUGGAUGGUAUUGUCGGUCGGUACAGGUCACAGUUAUGCAAUCGACUCUGGAAAGAAAAGUCGGAAUUUUGGUUGCAUUGCUUCAAGGUAUUGAAUCUAACUCCAUUGCUAUUCCACAUUCAACAACCAAUUAUAACAACAGCAGGAUGCAAAACAGAUCCAAAAUGUCCAUUGAAACAGAAGCUAAACAGAUUUUCUUCAACAUUGUUAAUAGCAGCGAAGAUUUGAACGCCGAGCGGCAGGCCUACUUGGUGGGAAGGAAAUUGAACAGUAUGAAGACUGGUACGCUGGUGGGAAGGGAUGGAUUUGAGAAGGAUUUUAGUAUUAGAAGGAGUUGUAAUGAUAGUGACAUGGUGCCGGCAUGAGGCGAAAAGCGUAACUAUGUCGCAAAGAGGGAUCAUAUGGCCAGUCGCUCGGUCCAAGAAUCCGGAGUCCGCACGGGUAUAGGUUUGUAUAGAUUUUGCAUUCAAUUUGUCACCAGUUUGGAGCUUUGUUGUAAUUCACACAGGUACAACAUGUUCCUGAUUCAGGUGGAGCUUAAAGAAAAUUGUUCACAGCAGCAAGUGCCUUGAGGAAAAUUUGGUGUCUUUUUUUGCAUAAAUUCAGUGUCUUUCAGAUGGUCUCAAAAGAAAUCCCACAUGUUUACUGAAGACUUGACUGACUGUUAUUUCCCAAUCAACUACUUGCUCGCAAAGAAUAAACUAAGUGGAUGUCCUGAACAUUUGGAGACAUUUAGUUUUGUUGAAUGAGAGAGAAAACUUUCUUUGUUGGCGACAUUUGUGGGUUUCUUGAAAUUUCUCGUGAUCGAUUUGAGAGGCCUAUAUUUUUCACUGGAUGCCAAUCUGAGCCUCCACCUGCGAUUAUUUUGGUUGUGGCACAGCAUGGAGGUUCACGAUCCAAACUUUUGUCAAUUGGUCUACCAUUAAAGAUCAUGCAGUAUGCUACUAUUAAUAUUCUAUGGAUGAGAAAUCUGAAUCCUGAUGUGAUUAAUGGAUUAUUUAUGUUUUUGUCCACUGUGGCACCCUGUUGAUUA